CACCGGCGGCUCGAGGGGUGGCCAAUGUUAUUGGGUCUAAAGCGUCCGUAGCCGGCUUGGCAAGUCCCCUGGGAAAUCUGGCGGCUUAACCGUCAGGCGUCCAGAGGAUACUGCCAGGCUUGGGACCGGGAGAGGUGAGAGGUACCUCAGGGGUAGGGGUGAAAUCUUGUGAUCCCUGAGGGACCACCAGUGGCGAAGGCGUCUCACUAGAACGGGUCCGACGUUCAGGGACGAAAGCUGGGGGCACGAACCGG
rnacentral:rRNA from 1 species